AUUUACGUGGGGAUUUCCCAGUGUCGGCACUGGAAGCUGGGAAAUCCCCCGGUCCCGGGGACAUUGGGACAGCUUGCCCCGGACCUCUUUUCUUUGAAAACAGCAAGGCCCAUGUCCUGGGAGCUACUUCAGCGAUGAGCAAAUGGGGAUCAUUGGUGGACCUACGCGAGCAACUUUAGCCUCAGUUUCUUCAUCUGAAAAUAUUACUCUGCGACACAUCGGAAGUGAAAUGAUUAAAAAAAAGCAUUCCUUACCAUAGAUGAUUUGAGAAUAACUGAAUAAAUAAUUGCUUACAUCUGUCGUCCCACUAAAAUAUGAAAAUAUUGAGACUCAGAUUGGCGAGGUAACUUGCGACAGGUCCUACAGCUGGAGGGAGAAGAGCACAGAUUUGAUCACUGCUCUGGGUGCCUACAGGAUCUGUAUUUUUAUACCACUACUUAGAGAUAGGAGGAAAAAACAGACGCAAGGACUUUUUGAUGCAGUUGUUCUGAAAGAAGAUAAAGAGUUGAAGUCUGGCCAGAGAUGUUGCAGAAGAGGAACGUUUAGUGGGUCAUUUAUUUGUCUCUCAAGUGAGGAAGAUAAAGAAUGAAACAAACAAAACCAAACGAACAUCUGAAAUCCCAGUGACUAAAAUGAAGACUUGGAGUUUUGCAAACAGACCAUUAUCCACAUAAGCCUUGACAUGGAAGAAUCUUUCUGACUGCCACGGCCAAUUCCUGUCGUGACACCAUCUUGACAGAGGCUGGAAAGAGCUGGUGGUGAACAGGCGGCCAGAACCAAGGAAGAAAACAAGGCAUCCAGGAUGAUAGGAUUACUUUUUCUCCAAUCAAUAAUUCAUUUUUAACCAGAAUGUUUGAGGAAAUGGAGACCCGGCCUUAAGUAGUUCUUCACAAGCAAAAGAAAAUGAGCAGAAGUCUAAAACAAAAUACGAUUUGGGACAUGGACCAAAACAAAAUGAAAACAUCUUUAAAACAGAGUGAUAAAGACUGUGUAAACUUAUUCACGAUUCAAUAGGAUCCACUUUCGCAAAAUGCAAGGGCAUGGCUCAUGUUUUGUUUUGAAAUGUAUCUGUAUCACAGAAACACAGUAACGGCGGCUUUUGACUUGUCCUGGUAUGAAUGGAGUACCCUAAAAUCUUACAUAAUUUGAGUCCUGCAGUUUAAUGGAGGCGAAGGCAAUAAGGCAUUUUAUCACAGCAAAUAAAAUGCCCAGAAAAGGAGACUAUUACCCACAUACAUGGAGAUGGGCCCUGUCUUCCUGUGGAGAAGUUCACCAGGAUCAGGAAUUUCAGGAAUGACUAACUGGCUUCAAAUUUCCAGGGUGGAAUUCUCAUUCCAUAAAUGAGAAUGAUGCAUAUCCUCCUCCACUCCCCACCCCAAAUGCACCUUGUGUUCCCCUCCCAGGCUUGUUUCUUGCCUUUUCUGCUCUCUCUCCCAUGUCUGUAUUUUACUCUCUUUGUGCUCACAGGGUCUCACGUUUACUUGCUAAACUUUGGCCUUUUCCACAUUCUGCCCCUGACAGGUGACAUCCCAGCAGUCCCCAUGGGUCACUCCCAGGUGAGCCCACCAGCUUCCCUGAAACUUCACCCUGUGUCUUGGGUUAUCCCGCCUAAAGCCCGGUCUGAUCUCACAGAGGUCUAAGAGCCUUGCUUCAAGUUCCUCUUGCUCAAAGCCAUGUCAGCAAGAUCCCCAAACCCUUCCCUGCCCAUCUUGGCUGUGGAGGUUCAUGCCUUUCAUUUACCCCGGAGAAAUUAUAUAUAAUAGUGUAUAUAUAUUACCUCCCCCCUCCACUUUAUCUCAUAUAAAGUAUCUGCUGUGAUGUAGUAUUGUCACUUUAUAGUUAAUUGUAAAAAACUUUUUUUCUGUGAAUGUUGGAGUGCAGGAAACACCUAGUGUCUGACAGCAUAGCCUGAAUGGGGAUGGGGAAGUGUAGAGCGAAGGGAAGGGGGUCUUGCCUUGAACUUGCCUGCUAUGCCCAUAUUUUCCUCUCCCCAGAGCUCUCCUCUAUUACAGCUAUUGCUCCAGCCUGUCGCUUUGAAAGAGCCACCACCCCCACCCCUCUGUGCAGUGCUGGCUCCACCUACUCCUCCCCUGUCCCCUGCAAAAUUAAAACCCUUUCUAAACAGCCAAUGCAGACUAAUUUUCACAGCAAGGGAGAAGAAUUUAAGAAAUGAAUUAAUUAUGUUUCUAUGAACAUUUCCAUGUACAAGGAUAAAGAUUUCCUUAAUUACGGCUUUUUGAGAAAGUAUUUGCUAAGAUGGGCUCCUGUUUAUGAAAUAGAAGGUUUGUAGAUCAUAAAGACCAAUGUUCUCUCACUGGUGACCGUGAAACAGUAGGACAUGUUAUUUAAGCAACACAAAAUGAAAAUAAAAGAAUCAAAUUUGGAGGUAGAGACAUAUUAAUACAUUGAAUCCAUGUGUUAAUUGUUUUCCCUGCUGUAUGUGUGCCAGAGUUUAAUCUAAAGUGUGUUUUACACACUUGCCUACACACAAACUCUUGAACAUAACUUCUCUUUGUGGCCCUGGAUUCACUGGCAGUGGGUUUCUCUCUGUGGUACCACUCAUUUGGGGAAUUUAGUUUGGGGAAGGAAAUUGUGCUAUUUUCUCACAGAGAGAAAAGGAUCUUAUAUCAAAGACUGUAUGUGCUAAGUUUUAAAUAGUCUUUACUAAGAGUGACACACUUCUGACAGUUUGGAUGACUUCUAAGAACUUAUGCAAAGCUGUUAUAAAUAUAUUUUUGAUCACAUUCAUCAAGAGUAUUCCUAUACCUAGAAAUAGGUUAGAAACAAAGGAAAGCAUUUUGUCAUUAAGUGGCCUCACCAACACAUACUCUUGACUCUAGUGAUCAUGUCUCUCCAGUUCACACGUAGGUCUUGUCACUUUACCCUUGACUUUUCUUUGUACCUUGAUUUAGCUGCUGGCACUGCAGAUUCUAAUGAUAAUUGAGAUCAAUGUUAAGCAUAUUUCUUGAUUGGGUAUUUGGGAACUGCUAAGAAAACAGCCCAUUCACAGCAAGGUCUGCACACAGGAUUGUUUGUCUAUAUAGCAUUUCAUUUGCCACCUACUUGUCUCCAUACAACGUUGUAUCUAAAGGCACCAUGGUUUAUUCCAGCGACAGAUGCCUUUUCAAACUCCAAUUUGACAAGGGAACAUAUUUUUUUGAAAUAUAAAAGCAAUCAAAAUCAUAAAAUCAAUAGCUCAUAUUUUCUUGCAGUGCUGUCAUUUAGAAACGUUUGAACAGAUAUUGUUCAAAUCGAGGUUGUUUGAUUUGUUUCCUGCCUAGGAUCUUCUGUUAGACAUUACUGAUUUUCUUUUUGGUCUUAUUUGGUAUAGUUCUAUAGUCCAACAAAAAAGAAGCUUGUGAUAAAAAUAAUGCUGAAGUUUUAGGAAGACAUUUCAUUGUAUCUUUCACAAUGUAAAAAAAAAAAAAAGAAUUUGGAAUUACAGAUGAUGGAGGAAAAGAAUUAGCAAAAUGAAAAUAAACAGGCAUACAGUCCCAGAUAGCAGAUUACUGUAUGAAAACUUUCUUGAGUAGAGUUUUUAACUGUCUCAGAAAAGGCUCAGGGUACAGUAUGGAAGGCCACAGCCACAGACAACCCAGCCAUGGUUGUUCUGAAUAAAUCAUGGAUUCUGCCUAAGGCAGUGACCCUGUAUCUCAGCAUUACCCAAAUUAUAUCUGUAUAACAUUUGGCCUUCAAGAUGAAUGGAGUUUCUAUGGUCAUAGACACUUGAAAUGCAGAUUCACAAACGUAUUCACAGUCAGGAGUCAAUUUGAAACACCGUUUAACCCAGUGUUUCCCAAAGCCAUUCCCUCAGUCCUCUUUUCCCAUUAAUACCUACAGCUAUUCCGUGGAAGCAGAGUCCCAGUGAUCAUACUUUGUGCAAUGGCGUAACUUUUACUCCUAGGCUCCCUUCUGUGGGUCAUAAAAACUGGUCGUGUUUAUAAAGAGGGUGUUGUCAAGCCCAGAUGACUUCCUUUCAACGAUCCCUUUAGACUCUUCUACUUUUGGCAACAUGCCAUUUAUAAUUGGUAACUGAGAAAGAGAGGAAGAAAAGUUGAAGAUACUCUUAUGCCCCUAAAGAAUUGUAGAAUCUUCAUCGACCCCCUGGAUUCCCCAUUCUCUGUCUCCUUAACAGUGAAUUUAGGGUGCUGAACACCAGGCUCUCUCCAUUCUGCAAGGAUUCUCCCAGCUCUGCUAUUCUGUGCUCCUGACAUAGUGUUGCAGGUUC